GUUUGGCAGAGCUGCCUCAGAGCUCACACUGCUUCAGUGUCCCAUCGUAAGUAUAGCUAUGCCUCAAGAGUUGCUAGGUAGUUUCUUCUUUGCCCUCAAUUUUCCCACAGUGCUUUUUUGUUGAUUUGUGAGUAUUUUGUAAGACUGAAGUUUGAGCAGACAAUUGCGAAAACAAGCCACAGUAUGCCUGGACAUUGCACAAAACAGCCAGUGGAAUAGAAACCUCUUAAGGUGGCGGAAAUCCAAGGCGUGAUGACCUGGCCUCCUCCUGUGAGAACGCUUGGCAAACAGCUCAAUUUCUGGCCUAUCUUUGAAUCGCAAGGGCAGAAAAAGGGUAACAGUUCCCCAGGUUCCAGUGGGCUGACCCAAAUCCAUCUGAGGAGCCUUCUUCAGAGGUGA
rnacentral:lncRNA from 1 species